rnacentral:rRNA from 1 species
UACGUAGGUGGCGAGCGUUAUCCGGAUUUAUUGGGCGUAAAGCGUCCGCAGCCGGUUUGUUAAGUAUAAAAUUAAAUUUCGGGGCUUAACCCCGUCUCGUUUUAUAAACUGAUAAACUCGAGUGUGGUAGAGGCAAGUGGAAUUUCUAGUGUAGCGGUAGAAUGCGUAGAUAUUAGAAGGAACACCAGUGGCGAAGGCGACUUGCUGGGCCAUCACUGACGGUCAGGGACGAAAGCGUGGGGAGCGAAUAGG